ACUGUAAUGAGAGGAAUGAGGACUGCAUAGUCUGUCUCAGACUGGCUCUUAGUGCAAAGUUUUCCAGACUUUGCUUUAAUCGUUUGGUCUCGGAAGGAGUAUGCCAUAUGCACUUUUGGUGGGAGAAAUUAAAAGCCCAGAUUACACAGCUGAGGAUGGAAAAUUUUGACAUCCUUAUGUUAUAUUGGAUGUAGGAAUAAAUAAGUAUGAGCCAUUUCUUGAAAACAUUUUUAUUGGAGUUUGAAUGGGGUGAGAGUGCGAAGGCUCAGGCUGGCUCAUUGUGCCUGAAAGCUUACAGAGUGUCAUAGUCAUAGUACUUCAGCAGCAUUAUUUUCCAAUGCAUUUUACACCAUUGUUUGUGGAUUUUUCUUGCCAAAAGGAUUUUUGACUUGCUCCGUAUAUUCCCCCCUCCCCUUUUUCUUUUAAGUCACUCCCAUCUAAGGAGGCAAGCAGCUUCCAGGGGACACAAAGAAAGCAGACUGCAAUGAAUUGGACAUGAAUUUUUCUUGAAUGAUGAAUAGACAUGAGUGCUAGUGCUACUAUUUUAUUUUAUGCUAUUUUAAACAAAAGUGUUAUUAUUAAGAUGGAUUUGGGCAAGGGUGCUAGGCUUGUGGAUUGACAAUUUAUAUUAACUGUACACUAGCUGGAAGCUACUUCGCUUUUUUUCUAAAUUUUUCUGGUCCAUCCUUUUUUGAUGUAAGGUUGUAAAUACUUGGUCUAACUGAUAGCCACUGACUAGCCUCAGUAAUAAAGCUUUUGUUCAAAAACUAUGAAUCUUAUUCAAAAGCUUUAAGUCUAAAUGUCAAAAGUCUUUAUAGUAAUGCCUACGUUACCACUGUCUGAAGACACAGGUAUCAGCUAUUUCUGUUUCAUCAGCUUUCUAUUAUCUUCAUCAGUAGGGAAGAUCAGAGGAAAGGGUCAUCCUGAAGACUAUUAAUAUUUGACUUUAGGAUGCAACCAGAAACAAAUCCCUCUACUUGGCAGGAAAGUUAUCUUCCUUAAAGUGGCUCACCCCAUAUUUCCUUAUUUAGAACAAUGAUAGGACCAGAUAUUACUCAGCCUGGAGUGACUUUUUUGCUCCUCCUUUCCCUGUUGUUGAAUAAGAACUGGCUUGCAGAAAAAAGAGAAAGUAUGUUCAUAUGUCUAUUAUUGGAAAGUAUAAAUGGCUGAAAUUAACAUUGAGUGCUAUAAUCUAGAAAGUGACGAAAGCGACAAAGUCUCAAGUCACUUUUAUUCAAUGAUCUCAUCGUGGUUAGCUUUACUCUUUAUGGAAAGAAAAUCUAAAGGCAACUGAUAAAGUGACUGACAGCGUAAACUGCGAUUGGCAUUCAUGGAGAAACCUGCUUCUCCACUGGGCCUUACUGGUGUUGAACACCUUGCCAAAUGAUGUAAAUACAUGAUUUUUAUUACCUUGUAGGCACCUUCACCAGCAAAAAAGCUAACUUCUCCGACCGAACACAUGACUUAUGCCCUAUGAUGACUAUUAAAUCAACCAAUAGCUGAAGAAAUCCACUUUCCUUUUUUAUAAAGUUUUCUUUCUCUCUAGUUAAUAAUGAACAACUUUACUUCAGGAAAGGAUUUUGUUAUUGUAAGUAGAGGAGAGACACAAAAGUAAUGAAGUAACAUUAAUUGAGACUUACUGUGACAACACAAGAUUGUCAUAUUCAACUCUCCCAAUAGCUCUACAAGCUUCAUGCCUGUGACUUCAUAAUCUCAAGAGGAACCAACUCAAAAAAUUCGACAUUCCAGAUCUUCAGAUGCAAGAACCUAAGUGUAAACCAAGUAUUCUGAGAAUUAAAAUCCUGACACUUACAGAUA
rnacentral:lncRNA from 1 species